rnacentral:rRNA from 1 species
CACGUAGGGGGCAAGCGUUGUCCGGAUUUAUUGGGCGUAAAGAGCUCGUAGGCGGUUCGGUAAGUCGGGUGUGAAACCUCCAGGCUCAACCUGGAGAUGCCACCUGAUACUGCUGUGACUCGAGUCCGGUAGGGGAGCGUGGAAUUCCUGGUGUAGCGGUGAAAUGCGCAGAUAUCAGGAGGAACACCAGCGGCGAAGGCGGCGCUCUGGGCCGGUACUGACACUGAGGAGCGAAAGCGUGGGUAGCAAACAGG